UCCAGGUCAGCAUCCCCACAGCCCCUGCCAAAGGAACCUCUAGAGAAAGACACCUGCCCCCAUUCUGUUCUGCUUUUCUCCAUAGCAACCAUCACCACCUGACAUAGAGCAGAAUGUCUAUGGGUUCUGAAAAUAUCCUUUGCCAUGGCAUCAGAGAAACCUCAAGGCAGAAGUUCAUGGGGGAGAGGCUGCCAGGUAACACUGCAGGAAGCAGAUCACUACAGCAAUGGCUGGAGUCAACUAUACUGAUCUCUUCACACCCAUUAGGAUGGCUAUUACCCAAAAGCAAGACAAAACAAGCAAAAAUGGGAAAUAACAAGUGCUGCACUAAGGCUCUAUCCCAGGACCUCUCCGCAUACUAGGCAAGAGCUCCACCACAGAGCUUCCCCAGCCCUUUUUAUUUCUUAUUUCUUGGUAAGUUAUUGAGGCUGGCCUAGAACUUGUGAUCCUCCAGCUAGAGUUUGCCCCAUGGAUCUCCCUGCUUGGGGACAGAGGCUGCCUGGCAUGUUCCUUUCAGACUAAAAGGAGCCCCAAGGAAAGCUGUCUGGAAGAGGCCAAGUCUAGACCCAGCUCUGAGCAGGAACUGGGGGAAGGAGAGAGUAGACUAUGUGCCAACAGAAGAGACUAUGUUAAUUAGUGGGGGCUGGGCUCUUCAGGGCCAGCUAAAAAGAUUGGUCUUUGUCCUGCAGCAAUUCAGGAGGCUGAAGCAAGAAGAUCGCAAGUUCAAAGCCAGCCUCAGCAUCUUUUUGAGGCACUUAGCAAUACAGCAAGUCUCUAAAUAAAGUAUAAAAAAAGGGCUAGGGAGGGCUGGGGAUGUGGCUCACGUGGUAGCGCGCUGGCCCGGGUUCGAUCCUCAGCACCACAUACAAACAAAGAUGUUGUG